UCCCUGCUGGCUCAGACGGUAAAGCAUCUGCCUCCAAUGCGGGAGACCUGGGUUCGAUCCCUGGGUUGGGAA
rnacentral:tRNA from 1 species